rnacentral:misc_RNA from 1 species
CCAUAGAAAUCUCAGCUAUUCGUCUCAUACAGCAACGCCCCCUAUAGUCCGUUGUGAUUGUGAAUAAUUUAAGUGUGUAGAAAUAGGCAGCUAAACACUGGCCACUGGGUGCCAUUUGAAUCUUGAACAAGAAUUAUAAAAAGAGUAUUUGUAAAAAAUAUUUAUUCAGUUUAUUUGCAUGAACAUUAUCUUAUCUUCUAAUGUCAUUAUUUUCAUCGUACUAAAAGAGAGCCUAAUUAAAAAUUGUGUGAAGAAAAAAAAAGCAAUUAAAAUAAAGAAAAAAUCUUCGUUAUAAAGCAAUAAAAUCCAGCAAAGACUUUUGUUUCAAAGAAGAUGUUCUUUUUUGAGCUGUCAUAUACCUUAUUCUUUUUAAAUAAAUCAACUGAACUGGAUCAACAUAAUUUUGACGUUGUAGACUGUCAAAGUGAAGUUCACAUUCCUGGAAGAUAACUUUCAGUUGAAGAGGGCUAAAGGGGUUGCACCACUGAUUCAAUUAAAAGAAAAGGAAGAGUUUUUGUUUAAUAUAAAUUAAUAAU